AGUCCACAUCGACGGGGAGGUUUGGCACCUCGAUGUCGGCUCAUCACAUCCUGGGGCUGUAGUAGGUCCCAAGGGUUGGGCUGUUCGCCCAUUAAAGGGGUACGCGAGCUGGGUUCAGAACGUCGUGGGACAGUUCGGUCCCUAUCCGUCGCAGGCGUAGGAAAUUUGAGAAGACCUGUCCUUAGUACGAGAGGACCGGGAUGGACGUACCUCUGGUGUACCAGU
rnacentral:rRNA from 1 species